AAAGUGAAGGUUUUGAUCCUGGCUCAGAGUGAACGCUAGCGGCGUGGAUUAGGCAUGCAAGUCGAGCGCGAACGGAUGAUGAAGGAUUCUUCGGAUGACUGAUUCGCUUAGUAGAGCGGCGCAAGGGUGAGUAAUACAUGGGUAACGUACCUUCAACACUGGAACAACCACUGGAAACGGUGGCUAAUGCCGGAUGGUUUCAUUCCUCCUCAUGAAGGAAUGAAUAAAGGUUGGGAUCUCUUCGGAGACCUCCCGGUUGAAGAGCGGCUCAUGGGCUAUCAGCUUGUUGGUGAGGUAAAGGCUCACCAAGGCGAUGACGGCUAGGCGAUCUGAGAGGAUGAUCGCCCACAUCGGGACUGAGACACUGCCCGGACUCCUACGGGAGGCUGCAGUCGAGAAUCUUCCGCAAUGGGCGCAAGCCUGACGGAGCGACGCCGCGUGAGGGACGAAGGCUUU
rnacentral:rRNA from 1 species